rnacentral:rRNA from 1 species
UCACGGGGGGCUACGGGAGGCAGCAGUGGGGAAUCUUGGACAAUGGGCGCAAGCCUGAUCCAGCAAUGCCGCGUGGGUGAAGACGGCCUGCGGGUUGUAAAGCCCUUUUGGCGGGGAAGAAGGCCCUGGGUUGAACAGGCUCAGGGGGUGACGUUACCCGUGGAAGAAGCACCGGCUAACUACGUGCCAGCAGCCGCGGUA